UAUAGUGAUUAUAGCAAUCCCCAGAGUGAAUAUAGCUCUCCAAUCUCCCAAACAUGAGCCUAGACUUCAUGAAGGGUAAAACAAAUCUCUUUAAUGGCAACCACAACUGGGCACUCUCUCCUGGACCUGAGAGUAGACUACAGUAAAAACAUACACACAAUUACAUUGGCUCUCAGGUCCAGGACACUCCCAUACAAAAUAGGUCAAUCCCUCCCCUGUGCCUGGAAGAUAUUUGAGUCA